rnacentral:rRNA from 1 species
ACGCUGGCGGCGUGCUUAACACAUGCAAGUCGAACGAUGAAGCCCAGCUUGCUGGGUGGAUUAGUGGCGAACGGGUGAGUAACACGUGAGUAACCUGCCCUUGACUCUGGGAUAAGCGUUGGAAACGACGUCUAAUACCGGAUACGAGCUUCCACCGCAUGGUGAGUUGCUGGAAAGAAUUUUGGUCAAGGAUGGACUCGCGGCCUAUCAGCUUGUUGGUGAGGUAAUGGCUCACCAAGGCGACGACGGGUAGCCGGCCUGAGAGGGUGACCGGCCACACUGGGACUGAGACACGGCCCAGACUCCUACGGGAGGCAGCAGUGGGGAAUAUUGCACAAUGGGCGAAAGCCUGAUGCAGCAACGCCGCGUGAGGGACGACGGCCUUCGGGUUGUAAACCUCUUUUAGCAGGGAAGAAGCGAAAGUGACGGUACCUGCAGAAAAAGCACCGGCUAACUACGUGCCAGCAGCCGCGGUAAUACGUAGGGUGCAAGCGUUGUCCGGAAUUAUUGGGCGUAAAGAGCUCGUAGGCGGUUUGUCGCGUCUGCUGUGAAAUCCCGAGGCUCAACCUCGGGUCUGCAGUGGGUACGGGCAGACUAGAGUGCGGUAGGGG